GAGUUCAUGUUGAAUAAAAUCAGAGGUCUAAAGAAACCAAAAAAACACUUACAAAAUAGACAGGAUACUGGGAUAAAGAGGCAUAAAAGGGUAACAGAAUGGAAAACUCCACCAGACAAACAAAAGAGUCUCUGUAUCCUGUUGGUUGAACACCAUAAAAAUCCACUGUCCAGUUAGAGAUAUAUCAGCAGCAUCAGCUCAGACCAAGGGACAACUAGACACAGACAGCAAAUAUGGGGACAGACACAUAUUGUGGAGCUGGACAGACACCCCUCUUGUGGAGCUGGAGCAACAGAAUUUUGAAACUGCUAAAGCACUGUGAAGAGGUGUUUACAUAUUCUUCUUUUGGGGGUCGCACAAACGUAAGGAUGAGACAUGCUGUAUUCUAAGCAGCAAAGGAGAUACGGACAGAAGAGAACAAGAGAAGGUGGCCAACAUCAAAGCACCGUCCGUGUAGAUACUAGGUACCCACUUCUGACUGAACCAGACAAGGGAGAUCACCCCUACCAAACCUACCUUCUACAGAGCAUUACAUUGUCUUCUGAUGGCAUCACACAUCAGAAGAGCACCUGCACCCUCCCUUCCCUCUGUUUCCAAUUUGAGCUG
rnacentral:lncRNA from 1 species